rnacentral:rRNA from 1 species
AACCUAAAACGAUGAUGGCCGAUUCGAAAAACGAUGUAGGUGGUCCGCCUCGACGCUGGAGCGCUGCUGCUGUUGCUACUAAAAACGACGUUGGCAUCAUCUAAAAACGAUGAUGGCGACUUCAAAAACGAUGUAGGUACAUUCCGCCUCAACGCUGGAGCGCUUCUGCCGCUGCCACAAACUAAAAACGAUGUUGGCAUCAAAAAUAAACGAUGAUGCCCACUUCAAAAAACGAUGUAGGUAAGUUUUACCGUAACUAACUGACUACCGGCGGUAGCUGUAUUAAAGGACGUCGCUCGUAGUUACCGCUCCCCGCCGCCGGCUCGAUGUUGGCGGCGGCAGUUCUCGACGUUGCGUCCACCUCAACAACGUACCCCUGGCCGCUGCUCCUGCCGGCCGCUGCCGCUCCUGGUUGCUGCCGCUCCUGGCUGCUGCUCCUGCCAGCCGCUCCCGCCCUAGGUCGCCGCUGUUCCUUCUGGCCGCUCCCACCCCUGGCUACGGGUGGCCUCCCCUGUCCUCCGCGCCGCGGCGCGAUGGGGCUUGUCCUGACGGGCUCCUUCUUCUUUCUCUCGUCCCCCACUAAGCCCAAAAAAAAAAAACUAACCUAGGUUAGCUUGCCGACACGUGUGUACCGUAGCCCGCCAACGCCACGCUGGAGUGGCCGCGUCUCACGACGGGAAAAGUGUUCCGAAGAGCGCUCGCGAGGCCGGUCGUGGAAGAGGGACUCUUUCGAGUGCUACCGUAACAGUGAGACGACGUGCUUCGGCUGGUACAUCCGCCGGGGCCGCUCGACCUGCGAGGCGGUGGCGGCGUAGGGCCGCAUGAGCGCGUCCGGGCUGAGCUAGGAGAGGAAGAGGCACGGUCGGAAGGAUGGUUCCUGCCGCAGCGGCUCCGUAGAGCGGUCCUACUGCGGCAGGAGCUCGCGGCUCGUCGGCGGGACCGGGUCCAGGCCGCAGUAGCCCACGUCGCGCAGCGGCCGGUGCGUGUGCAAGGGGAACGACUACGGGCGCUUGUGCUCGCUCUCGCCGCCGGCCUUGGAGUCGCCGCACCGCCCGCGCAGCAGCGAGGAGAGGUGGUUAAGGUCGCGGAGGCGCCCGUGGAACCUCGAGGAGUCGAAGCAGUCGUGCAUGACGAAGUAGAACCAUGGCGAGAGGAGCCGUGGUAGUAGUAGACGUGCAGUCAGUUCCGCUCUGCCAUUUACCUGUAGGCACCUAGCGUCAGCGGUACCUACGUCUCUCAUUGAUCGAUCUGACUGGCAGAAGCCUCCCUCUGGUACACAUCUUGGUCAUCUGCAGCCACAGCAACGUCCCCUGCUUCGGCUUCGCCUUCGGCAACGGUUUCUCGACGUUCUUGAACCCGCCCUUCGGCACCGGCAGCCCCAUUGCGCGCUCCGGGGCGCACCGCCUCGCGGGCCUCACGCUGCCGAACCGCUCGGGGUCGGUAGACGGGUGGUACCUCAACUAGGGCAGCGUAGGCUGGUCGUGGAAGCGGGCCUCUCAGCUCGGCAGCCGCUCCACCUCCCAGAACCGUGGCAGCGGCACGAGCAGCUACCUCUGCUAGAACCUCCUCAUCGCCUACCACGGGCAGCCGUCGAGGCGGCGGUCCUGGACGUCGUCGUGCAGCGCGGACUGCGUCGACUUGAGCAGGGACUUCAGGUGGAGGAAGCGAUAGAGAGGGCACCUGCGGCUGUACUGCGCGUCGGGAACCUACACGUCCACCUCGAAGGACUAGACCAGCGGCUGCGGCUCCCGCAGCUCGCGCGCCUUCCGCAACCCGGUGCACCGCUUCCGCUUGGGGCUCCGGGCCUCGCUGCCC